GAGAGGGGGAAAAAUCUCACUUGGACGGGUAGCAAUUAUUGGUAAUUUGCAACUGAUUACUUCUUUCCUUGUUAAUUGCUACGCAUCAAUCAGCACUCUUUAAGAGUUGUACAUUAUUUGAAAUGCAAAAUAAUGCAAAUUUUUGUCUUGGCUCUGGUCAGAAGUGAGUCUGCAGUUACAGGGAGUCAGCUCUGGAGCAUGACCUCUAAAACACAUCUUCUUUUAUUGCUUUGGCUUCUGCAAACUGGAGGUGCCUGGGAGGCUGCAGCUUGGGAGUCUGCUAUCUGGAUGCAAAUCCCUGGAUCAGCAAGAUGCUUGUCAUCUCACUGACUCUCCUGAUGUCACUUGCAGAACGAGGGUGGUAGGCAACGUGACUGGACCCAAAAGCAGACACACAUGGACACACGGAGGAACAGCCUCGGAGGUGACACUGGAAGUGGGGGGCUUCCAGCAGGCCGCAGGUGGAAUCCACUGAGCAGAGACCAGGGCCCGAGCUGAAGCGGCACACGAAAAGGUGUGUUGACACCCGAGCUGCACACCUGGUAUUCUGUUGCACCAACAUCGUCCUGCGGACAGUAAGCCCGGCGUGAUGUCUGCUGUCCCCCACCUCUCUCUGGACUGUGCUGCUCAGACUGCCCUUGACAAUUUAAAGCCGAAUGAAUUCGUUCUGCGCGUGAAGAUGGAGGUGCCGUUGGGAAUUUUUAAAUCCCUGCUGUGUAAACUUGGGCCAGCCGGCAGAUGGUUUCUUGGUUGUGAGACAAGAAGGAGAAAUUUUGGCCUGGGAAUGGAGGGAACUGAAACAGGGCACAGUGACCAGUGCUCGGGGAGACUUUGGCAAGGAGCUCUGGAGGCUUCUUAGAAGGAAGAACCACUAUGAGUCACAGGCAGCAUUAUUACCUUAACAGGUUUUGAACUGCUGCACCAAAUAAAUGUGCAGGAUAGUCUGCCUGGGUUCUAGGAACAUACUCCACAGUGGGUGUGCCUGCAGGACCCACCGCGGUGAGCUAAUGUAAGGCGUUUCAUAGCUC